AAAAGGUUAGUUAAUUAUAACAUUAGUAUGUCACGCUAAAAUUAUUGAAAGCUCAAUACCUUUUA
rnacentral:tRNA from 1 species